CCAGGAGGGCUGAUUGUGAAACAUUUUGAUCAGACCAUGAAACAUCAGUGGGUUCUUGCAGAAGUGAUUUCUCUGUGUGUUCAUCAGUCUGUCCUCUGCACUGUGGCUUCUCGCAUCUUCCAGGACCCUAGACGGAGAUGCGGCUGCAGGACCAGCAACUGGCCAGACAGCUCAUGCGCCUGCGUGGCGACAUCAACAAGCUGAAAAUCGAACACACCUGCCGCCUCCACAGGAGGAUGCUCAACGAUGCCACCUACGAGCUGGAGGAGCGGGAUGAGCUGGCCGACCUCUUCUGUGACUCCCCUCUUGCCUCCUCCUUCAGCCUCUCCACACCACUCAAGCUUAUUGGCGUGACCAAGAUGAACAUCAACUCUCGGAGGUUCUCUCUCUGCUGAGGAGCCCUCAGACUGGGCGGAGGGGCUGGAGCGGAGGGCUUGGGCUGGAGGGGUGUCAGAGGAAGCUGAGGCCAAGUUACUCCAGUGGGUCUCCCGGAGGCAGGGGUCCCUGGGACUGGCGACUCAAGGGCCCCAGGACCUAUUCAGUGGUGCUCUCCCACCCAGGGGCCCUGGGUGUGGAUGCCAGUGUCUCUGUGACUGGCUCUUGCUUACUACCCAAAGAGCUCUGCAGAAGGGCCGCUCCAACCAAGAUGUUAAAGGAGACCUGGGUUCCCACCAUAAUCCAUCCCUCCACGGUCACGUUCCUGUUUCCUGGAAUCACUGGUGCUAUGAACUGGGAUUCCCAAAGGGAGGCCCCCCAACAAAGCUGUCAUUUUUGCAGAAGGCUGUCCCGCAAGGGCCUUGGGGGAAAUUAGGCAUGUCAGAUGUGCCUGUCUCACGUGCUGUUGCUGUCCUCUAAGUAUUGUCUCAAAUUCACCC
rnacentral:misc_RNA from 1 species